CCUGAGAGGGGAGAAAGCGCGCGCAGCGCCCGCGUGGGCCGAGCGGGAGCGGGCCGACCUGCGGGCCGAUUUCCCGGCUGCUCGCUGCGCAGUUUUUUUUUCAUUUUCUUUUUGUGCAGUUUCUAAUUUAUGUUUGAAUUUGUGUAAUAAAUUGUGUAUUGAUCCAAAAAUCAUGGAAAUUUUUGUAUAGAUUCCCUGAAAUGAGUAGAACCCAAGAAAAAUAUUAGAUUUUAUUUUCUGAUAGUUUGCAUGUGUAUAAAAAUUGCCUCUUUUAAUUAGUAAAUACAACUUCUAUGAAUUUUAAUAAUUUAUUAAUAUGUCCAAAAAUCACCA
rnacentral:lncRNA from 1 species